rnacentral:tRNA from 1 species
UCGAGGAGAUAGUCAACGAAGAACCUGUAGCCGGGGUCUCCGGGAACGCGGCCCGCAGAAGUGUGCGGCUGUUCGAGGUAUCCUUCCUCUGA